UAUCACAAAUUCAAUCACAUUUGACAUAAAACAAUAAUCAUUCUAGUUAUUAUUACAGCACCGAAUAAAACAAUAAUCAUUCAAAUUAUUACAACAAUGUUUGAGCAAAUUACAACAAUUGUAGCAUCACGGUUUUUACCGCAAUACGUUCCGUGCCAUGCCAAAUCCAUUGUGCUUCAUAAAAUAUCCUUCCAUCCGUAGUUCAAACUAGGCACAACAAGAUGAGAAUUGACUAGGCACAAAUCGUUUCAUCUCUACUCAAGUGGAGUACAAAACAUCAAUAAACACUGGUUGCACUUACUUGUGUAAAGGUAAGUUCUCGCAAGAACUUGCCGGAAUAAUUCUCUUUUAUAGUGUAUCUCAUGGUUUUCCCUCAGACAGGCAUGAAAUCGCCAUCAAUCAUAAAUUUGACCUGCAGAUACAAGGGCGCUGAACAUUCAAUUUACGAGAAAUAACAAUGUACGGCUAAUCUACCAAGUUGAUUGCUGGAUGCACUCGGGCGUUGACCUGAUCCGGGAGACGGCACCCAGCACCCUGUACGUGAAGCACUCGGC
rnacentral:lncRNA from 1 species